UGUUUAUCAAAAACAUUUUUAAAUGAAUAUAAUAUUUAGUAAGACUGCUCAAUGAAUUUUAAUAGCCGCUUAUAUGUGCUAAGGUAGCGUAAUAAAUAGCCUUUUAAUUAAAGGCCAGUAUGAAAGGUUCAACAUGCGAAUUCCUUUAUUAAUUUUAUUACUUUAAUUUUUCUUUAAAGUAAAAAGACUUUAAUUAUAAAAGGGACGACAAGACCCUAUUGAGCUUAACUUUUGUUUCACUGGGAGGGUAAAAAACUAUAUCUUUUAUUUUUUCUAUUUUUCAUCCUAUUAUUUAGACUAAAAAGUUACCAUAGGGAUAACAGCAUAAUUUUUUUCUAGAGACCUUUUCAAAAAAAAAGAUUAUGACCUCGAUGUUGAAUUAUUUAAUCUUUUUGGAGCAAACACUAAAAAAGAAAGUCUGUUCGACUUUUAAAACUUUACGUGAUCUGAGUUCAGACG
rnacentral:rRNA from 1 species